rnacentral:rRNA from 1 species
AACGAACGCUGGCGGCAGGCUUAACACAUGCAAGUCGAGCGCCCCGCAAGGGGAGCGGCAGACGGGUGAGUAACGCGUGGGAACGUACCCUUUGCUACGGAAUAGCUCCGGGAAACUGGAAUUAAUACCGUAUGUGCCCUACGGGGGAAAGAUUUAUCGGCAAAGGAUCGGCCCGCGUUGGAUUAGCUAGUUGGUGGGGUAAUGGCCUACCAAGGCGACGAUCCAUAGCUGGUCUGAGAGGAUGAUCAGCCACACUGGGACUGAGACACGGCCCAAACUCCUACGGGAGGCAGCAGUGGGUAAUAUUGGACAAUGGGCGCAAGCCUGGUCCAGCCAUGCCGCGUGAGUGAUGAAGGCCUUAGGGUUGUAAAGCUCUUUCACCGGAGAAGAUAAUGACGGUAUCCGGAGAAGAAGCCCCGGCUAACUUCGUGCCAGCCGCCGCGGUAAAAC